GCGGAUAUAGAAAAAAUAGGUAACCUCAUUAGUUUUCCAAACUAAAGUUUACGGGUUCGAAUCCCGUUAUUCGCU
rnacentral:tRNA from 1 species